GCGAUCAUUCCAGCACUAAUGCACCGGAUCCCAUCAGAACUCCGAAGUUAAGCGUGCUUGGGCGAGAGUAGUACUAGGAUGGGUGACCCCCUGGGAAGUCCUCGUGUCGCACCCC
rnacentral:rRNA from 1 species